GGGGGGAGCAAACGUUGUUCGGAAUCACUGGGCGUAAAGGGCGCGUAGGCGGCCCGGCAAGUGGUGUGUGAAAUGCCCUGGCUCAACCAGGGAACUGCGCCCAAACUGCCGGGCUUGGGGUCAGUAGAGGAAGCUGGAAUUCCUGGUGUAGCGGUGAAAUGCGUAGAUAUCAGGAGGAACAUCGUUGGCGAAGGCGAGCUUCUGGGCUGCACCUGACGCUGAGGCGCGAAAGCUGGGGGAGCAAACAGGAUUAGAUACCCUGGUAGUCCCAGCCGUAAACGGUGAACACUAGGUGUGGGGGGGUGUCGACCCUUCCCCGUGCCCGCAGCUAACGCAUUAAGUGUUCCGCCUGGGGAGUACGGUCGCAAGGCUG
rnacentral:rRNA from 1 species